UUUAAAUGGCCGCAGUAUACUAACUGUGCAAAGGUAGCAUAAUCAUUAGUCUUUUAAUUGAAGGCUGGUAUGAAUGGUUGAACGAGAUAUUAACUGUUUCAUAAAUAUUUAUAUUAGAAUUUUAUUUUUUAGUCAAAAAGCUAAAAUUUAUUUAAAAGACGAGAAGACCCUAUAAAUCUUUAUAUUUAGAUUAUUAUAAUUUUAUAGAUUUUUUAUUAUUUUAAUAAUUAAUAAUAUUUUAUUGGGGUGAUAUUAAAAUUUAAUUAACUUUUAAUUUAUAUAAUCAUUAAUUAAUGAAUAAUUGAUCCGUUAUUAACGAUUAAAAAUUUAAGUUACUUUAGGGAUAACAGCGUAAUUUUUUUGGAGAGUUCUUAUCGAUAAAAAAGAUUGCGACCUCGAUGUUGGAUUAAGAUAUAAUUUUAGGUGUAGUAGCUUAAAUUUUAAGUCUGUUCGACUUUUAAUUUCUUA
rnacentral:rRNA from 1 species